UACGUAGGGUGCGAGCGUUGUCCGGAAUUAUUGGGCGUAAAGGGCUCGUAGGCGGUUUGUCGCGUCGGGAGUGAAAUCCACUGGCUUAACUGGUGGCUUGCUUUCGAUACGGGCAGACUGGAGGUAUGCAGGGGAGAACGGAAUUCCUGGUGUAGCGGUGAAAUGCGCAGAUAUCAGGAGGAACACCGGUGGCGAAGGCGGUUCUCUGGGCCUGUACUGACGCUGGAGGAGCGAAAGCGUGGGGAGCGAACAGG
rnacentral:rRNA from 1 species